rnacentral:lncRNA from 1 species
ACUCAAUGAUCUUACUUAAGGUCCUUAUCUUGAGUUCUGCAUCAAACAACUCCCCUAGGUACUUAGUCAUUCAACCAACCAUCCCCACAGACAUAAGUAACCUUUGAGAAGUCUUCGAAAGGAUAAGGAUAUGUAUUUGGCCUAUCUCGGCUCAAGCACAAUCCGAAUCCUUUUGCCUUAUAGGCAAUAGUACCAAGUCCAUCUCCUGGACUGACAAAGCUCAUGAGAUCCUAAGUCAAUCAACCAACCAUC